rnacentral:tRNA from 1 species
ACCCCAUCCAUAGAAGUAUAAAUCUUCUCCUCUCUA